rnacentral:rRNA from 1 species
GAAUAUUGGACAAUGGGCGCAAGCCUGAUCCAGCCAUGCCGCGUGUGUGAAGAAGGCCUUCGGGUUUUAAAGCACUUUUGUUGGGGAAGAAAAGCCAUGGGCUAAUACCCUGUGGUUCUGACGGUACCCAAAGAAUAAGCACCGGCUAACUUCGUGCCAGCAGCCGCGGUAAUACGAAGGGUGCAAGCGUUACUCGGAAUUACUGGGCGUAAAGCGUGCGUAGGUGGUUCGUUAAGUCUGAUGUGAAAGCCCUGGGCUCAACCUGGGAAUUGCACUGGAUACUGGCGGGUUGGAGUACGGUAGAGGGUGGCGGAAUUCCUGGUGUAGCAGUGAAAUGCGUAGAUAUCAGGAGGAACAUCCGUGGCGAAGGCGGCCACCUGGACCAGUACUGACACUGAGGCACGAAAGCGUGGGGAGCAAACAG